rnacentral:rRNA from 1 species
UACAGAGGGUGCAAACGUUGCUCGGAAUCAUUGGGCGUAAAGCGCACGUAGGCGGCCUAGCAAGUGGGGAGUGAAAGCCCUCGGCUUAACCGAGGAAGUGCUUUCCAAACUACUAGGCUUGAAUACUGGAGAGGGUCGCGGAAUUCCCGGUGUAGAGGUGAAAUUCGUAGAUAUCGGGAGGAACACCAGUGGCGAAGGCGGUGCUCUGGGCCGGAACUGACGCUGAGGAGCGAAAGCCAGGGGAGCAAACGGG